AAGAAGAAGAGGACGGUGAAGCCCCGGGCCCGGUCUUACAGGAGAAAAGUCUCAGUCCCGAAAGACGGGAAUCACGCUGCGGAAUGAAAAGCGGAGCCGAGAACAGUGGCAGCCAACAGAUGAGAGACCGGCGUUGGCAUCGGGAGGGAGGAACCUGUGCCAGAGCUUCAGCCUGCGGACAGGUUUGCCUCCGGAAGACGGCCAUGUGGGAAAGCAACUUUAAAGGGUGGAAGAGCACUCAUUAAAACACGGUAUAUCGCCUACGAAGUUAGAGCCAAGCUGAGAAACCCCAGGGUAUCAAGAGAUAGCAACUGACCUUAGGAGAGCAAAGCGCUUAUUCUGAAUGGGAACGGUAAGUUUUCCCUGCAACGAGAAGGCCACACGCAAAUGUCUUUUAGCCGCGAGUGAAGCAGAAACCAGAGCUGGAGGCCGGAAGAGACCUCGAGAGAGCAGCUGGUCUCGGCUCCUGGCCCCAGGACCCGGGGAUGGCAGCGGGGGGGAACUCGACCGGCACGUUUGCAAGCAAGGUGGGAAGACAGAAAUGUGCCGGCUACACACGAGUUCAACCUCAAGAAACGUGGUCGCCAGUGACUUUGGGGGGCAGGGUAGGAGAGCAAGCCGGCAGUGGCAGCAGCUGUUCUCUCGUGGGUGCAAAGAAGGCAGAGUGCAGGGCCGGCCCAGUUGGAACAGCAAUAUCCCGCAGCCGGAAGGCAGAGACGCAAAGCUGAAAAUAGCAACCCUAGGCGGAAGGCUCCAGAUGUGUUACUAUAAAUCUGAACUGGACUAGAAAAUGCAGCUUGCUCUCUCUCGAGUUAUAUUCCUUCCUUCACCCGGAAAAGAACUCAGGAGCACAUUUUCUCACUCAGAUCGACCACCAGUUGGGGCAAAAACCUGAUAGCGGUGACUCAGUAAAUCGUCACGAUUAAAAGAACGUUUGGUUUCAUAAAAAACAAACUACCCGAGCACUCCGAUCAAGGUUACCUACAAUUAAACUGCAGUAAUUCUCUUUGA